GCAGCAUCUCAACCUCCUUGUUCUUUCUCAUAUUGUCCAAUUUUAUGACUAAUGUCCGAGACUCAUAAACCAUGAGCCAUUUCUAUUCAAGCGUGCACAUAGCCCAGCUUCUAUUGUUCUACGUGGGGGUCGGAUUGCGUAAUACG
ensembl:ncRNA K08A8.30 ncRNA